AUUGAACGCUGGCGGUAUGCCUUACACAUGCAAGUCGAACGGUAGAGGGGCAACCCUUGAGAGUGGCGAACGGGUGAGUAAUACAUCGGAACGUGCCCAGUCGUGGGGGAUAACGUAGCGAAAGCUACGCUAAUACCGCAUACGACCUGAGGGUGAAAGCGGGGGAUCUUCGGACCUCGCGCGAUUGGAGCGGCCGAUGGCAGAUUAGGUAGUUGGUGGGGUAAAAGCCUACCAAGCCUGCGAUCUGUAGCUGGUCUGAGAGGACGACCAGCCACACUGGGACUGAGACACGGCCCAGACUCCUACGGGAGGCAGCAGUGGGGAAUUUUGGAUAAUGGGCGAAAGCCUGAUCCAGCCAUACCGCGUGCGGGAAGAAGGCCUUCGGGUUGUAAACCGCUUUUGUCAGGGAAGAAAUCUUCUGGGUUAAUACCUCGGGAGGAUGACGGUACCUGAAGAAUAAGCACCGGCUAACUACGUGCCAGCCGCCGCAGUAAUAC
rnacentral:rRNA from 1 species